rnacentral:rRNA from 1 species
GAUGAACGCUGGCGGCGUGCCUAAUACAUGCAAGUCGAGCGAACAGACGAGGAGCUUGCUCCUCUGACGUUAGCGGCGGACGGGUGAGUAACACGUGGAUAACCUACCUAUAAGACUGGGAUAACUUCGGGAAACCGGAGCUAAUACCGGAUAAUAUAUUGAACCGCAUGGUUCAAUAGUGAAAGACGGUUUUGCUGUCACUUAUAGAUGGAUCCGCGCCGCAUUAGCUAGUUGGUAAGGUAACGGCUUACCAAGGCAACGAUGCGUAGCCGACCUGAGAGGGUGAUCGGCCACACUGGAACUGAGACACGGUCCAGACUCCUACGGGAGGCAGCAGUAGGGAAUCUUCCGCAAUGGGCGAAAGCCUGACGGAGCAACGCCGCGUGAGUGAUGAAGGUCUUCGGAUCGUAAAACUCUGUUAUUAGGGAAGAACAAAUGUGUAAGUAACUAUGCACGUCUUGACGGUACCUAAUCAGAAAGCCACGGCUGACUACGUG